rnacentral:rRNA from 1 species
CGGGACGAACGCUGGCGGCGUGCUUAACACAUGCAAGUCGAACGGUGACGAGGAGCUUGCUCCUCUGAUCAGUGGCGAACGGGUGAGUAACACGUGAGCAACCUGCCCCAGACUCUGGGAUAACAGUUGGAAACAGCUGCUAAUACCGGAUACGAGACGGAGAGGCAUCUCUACCGUCUGGAAAGUUUUUCGGUCUGGGAUGGACUCGCGGCCUAUCAGCUAGUUGGUGAGGUAAUGGCUCACCAAGGCGACGACGGGUAGCCGGCCUGAGAGGGCGACCGGCCACACUGGGACUGAGACACGGCCCAGACUCCUACGGGAGGCAGCAGUGGGGAAUAUUGCACAAUGGGCGAAAGCCUGAUGCAGCGACGCCGCGUGAGGGAUGACGGCCUUCGGGUUGUAAACCUCUUUCAGCAGGGAAGAAGCGAAAGUGACGGUACCUGCAGAAGAAGCACCGGCUAACUACGUG